GAUGAACGCUGGCGGCGUGCCUAAUACAUGCAAGUCGAGCGAACAGACGAGAGUGCUUGCACUCUCUGACGUUAGCGGCGGACGGGUGAGUAACACGUGGGUAACCUACCUAUAAGACUGGGAUAACUUCGGGAAACCGGAGCUAAUACCGGAUAAUAUUUAGCUUCGCAUGAAGCAAUAGUGAAAGACGGUUCUGCUGUCACUUAUAGAUGGACCCGCGGUGUAUUAGCUAGUUGGUGAGGUAACGGCUCACCAAGGCAACGAUACAUAGCCGACCUGAGAGGGUGAUCGGCCACACUGGGACUGAGACACGGCCCAGACUCCUACGGGAGGCAGCAGUAGGGAAUCUGCCGCAAUGGACGAAAGUCUGACGGAGCAAUGCCGCGUGAGUGAAGAAGGUUUUCGGAUCGUAAAACUCUGUUGUAAGGGAAGAACAAGUACGUUAGUAACUGAACGUACCUUGACGGUACCUUACCAGAAAGCCACGGCUAACUACGUG
rnacentral:rRNA from 1 species